rnacentral:rRNA from 1 species
UACAGAGGGUGCGAGCGUUAAUCGGAAUUACUGGGCGUAAAGCGCGCGUAGGCGGCUUUGCAAGUCGGGUGUGAAAGUCACAGGCUCAACCUGUGAAUGCCGCUGGAAACUGUCUGGCUUGAGUCCGGAAGGGGCGAGUGGAAUUCCUGGUGUAGCGGUGAAAUGCGCAGAUAUCAGGAGGAACACCAAUGGCGAAGGCAGCUCGCUGGAACGGUACUGACGCUGAGGCGCGAAAGCGUGGGGAGCGAACAGG